rnacentral:rRNA from 1 species
AGAGUUUGAUCCUGGCUCAGAUUGAACGCUGGCGGCGUGCUUAACACAUGCAAGUCGAGCGGAAACAGGCCCGCAAGGGUGCUGUCGAGCGGCGGACGGGUGAGCAAUACAUAGGAAUCUGCCUCAGAGCGGGGAAUAGCCCGGGGAAACCCGGAUUAAUGCCGCAUGAUGUCGAAAGACCAAAGUGGGGGAUCGUAAGACCUCACGCUCUGAGAUGAGCCUAUGUCCGAUUAGCUAGUUGGCGGGGUAAUGGCCCACCAAGGCAACGAUCGGUAGCUGGUCUGAGAGGACGAUCAGCCACACCGGAACUGAGACACGGUCCGGACUCCUACGGGAGGCAGCAGUGGGGAAUAUUGGACAAUGGGCGAAAGCCUGAUCCAGCGACGCCGCGUGGGUGAAGAAGGCCUUCGGGUUGUAAAGCCCUUUUAAGCCGGGACGAAAAAAUCGAACCUAACACGUUCGAUCUUGACGGUACCGGAAGAAUAAGCACCGGCUAACUCUGUGCCAGCAGCCGCGGUAAUACAGAGGGUGCGAGCGUUAAUCGGAUUUACUGGGCGUAAAGCGUGUGUAGGUGGCUCGCUAAGUCGAUUGUGAAAUCCCUGGGCUUAACCCGGGAAUUGCAGUCGAUACUGGCGGACUAGAGUUCGGUAGAGGACGGCAGAAUUCCCGGUGUAGCGGUGAAAUGCGUAGAGAUCGGGAGGAAUACCGAUGGCGAAAGCAACCGUCUGGGCCUGAACUGACACUGAGACACGAAAGCGUGGGGAGCAAACAGGAUUAGAUACCCUAGUAGUCC